ACCUGGCUGGCUCAGUCAGUAGAGCAUGAGACUCUCAAUCUCGGGGUUGUGAGUUCGGGCCUCACGUUGGGUG
rnacentral:tRNA from 2 species